rnacentral:rRNA from 1 species
UACGAAGGGGGCCAGCGUUGUUCGGAAUUACUGGGCGUAAAGAGCGCGUAGGCGGCUUACCAAGUUGGGGGUGAAAUCCCGGAGCUCAACUCCGGAACUGCCUUCAAAACUGGUAGGCUCGAGUCCGGAAGAGGGGCGUGGAAUUCCCAGUGUAGAGGUGAAAUUCGUAGAUAUUGGGAAGAACACCGGUGGCGAAGGCGGCGCCCUGGUCCGGUACUGACGCUGAGGCGCGAAAGCGUGGGGAGCAAACAGG